rnacentral:rRNA from 1 species
UACGUAGGGGGCAAGCGUUGUCCGGAUUUAUUGGGCGUAAAGAGCGUGUAGGCGGCUUUGCAAGUCCGUUGUGAAAACUCGAGCUCAACCUCGAGACGCCGGUGGAAACUGCAAAGCUAGAGUCCGGAAGAGGAGAGUGGAAUUCCUGGUGUAGCGGUGAAAUGCGCAGAUAUCAGGAAGAACACCCGUGGCGAAGGCGGCUCUCUGGGACGGUACUAACGCUGAGACGCGAAAGCGUGGGGAGCGAACAGG